CGCCCGGGCUUAGCCUUGACGGGGCGUUGAGCUCUCUUUAAACUCACGCACCCCUAAAUUUGGCAGGGCGUGUUGCUCUGCCAUUUUGCUUUCUUCGGAAAGCGAUUGUGUCGAAAGACAAAACAGUGGAGCUAGUAGA
rnacentral:sRNA from 1 species